rnacentral:lncRNA from 1 species
UGAUUUGUGUCUCGAAAUCACUGUUUUCGACGCCACAAAAAGCGGGAUGUUACAUUGAUGGUGCAAAGUUCGGAAUGGAUCCUCCUCUGGCCAUGUUGAAGUUACAAAAGCUUCUCUCCAUUUGAAAUGGAUUCACCUUAGUCAUCAAAAAUGUCGUCUGCCUAACCAUAUUGGUGUUAAAAAAAUUUGAAAUUGAUCUCCGCCUCGGCAUGUCGAUCGAUGUUGAAAAAAUCAGAGUUGAU